GACGAACGCUGUCGGCGUGCCUAAUACAUGCAAGUCGACCUUAGUGGCGGACGGGUGAGUAACACGUGGGAAGCUACCCCUAAGAGGGGGAGAACCCUUGAAAACAGGUGCUAAUACCGCAUACUGAUGGAUGGACCCGCGGUGCAUGAGCUAGUUGGUGAGGUACCGGCUCACCAAGGCCACUAUGCAUAGCCGACCUGAGAGGAUGAUCAGUCACACUGGAACUGAGACACGGUCCAGACUCCUACGGGAGGCAGCAGUGGGGAAUAUUGGAAAAUGGGCGAAAGCCUGAUCCAGCCAUGCCGCGUGUGUGAAGAAGGUCUUCGGAUUGUAAAGCACUUUAAGUUGGGAGGCGUUACCAACAGAAUAAGCACCGGCUAACUUCGUGCCAGCCGCCGCGGUAAUUC
rnacentral:rRNA from 1 species